rnacentral:lncRNA from 1 species
GUAUCUUCUAUAAAAAGAAGCAUGAGAAGAAGCGUGUUCGUGUUUAUAUGGAUGGUUGUUUUGACCUGAUGCACUAUGGCCAUGCAAAUGCUUUGAGACAAGCAAAAGCCUUGGGAGAUGAACUGGUAGUUGGGGUUGUCAGUGAUGAGGAAAUCAUAGCUACUAAGGGUCCUCCAGUUUUGUGCAUGGAAGAAAGGUAUGUGUAGAUUGCCAUUUUUUUCAACUCCUGUAAAUGUUUUAACUUUUACUUACCAUCUGUGAAAUAUCUUGCUCAAGGAGAAAGGGAAAGAGUAUUGAUAUGCUCUGAGCUCUACUUUUCAGUCUUAACUGUAGGAAUGUGUUUAUAUUAUCCUAUAUAUGGUUCAUGAAGGUUCCAGUUCGUAACGGUAUGGCCUUCUUAAAUCCAGAGUUAUUGGUGAAGGAUAUUGCUAGGGAUCAUUGCCAUAUGUAUUGAUUAGAGUUAUCGUGUUCUUCCAGCUCCAUCUCCGAGCUUGAUGGUUGUAACUGGAAAAGCCUAAUAGGGUAGUCUGUUAGCAGUAACAAGUCUAUCUAUGGUUUCUUGAAAUUGCUUUUUGACUUUGUAGUAUGACGAGCCUAACAAAAUGAUGUUAAGAUUAUUUGAGACAUAAAGGGGACUAUUGUGGAGAGUUAUUUAAACUUUAUGUAUCUUUCCCUACAGUAUUUGCUUCUGUUUACCUGUUUGCUGAUUUAUCUAUUUAUUAUUUUCCUUCUUAGUUUAUCUGGUGUGAGAUCGUGCGGUGUUUAAUAGUUUAAACUUACGUACUUGUAUUACAAAAGAUUUACUUCAGGCACAUGAUCAAAUAUGUAGUUCCAUUUAUUUCAUUCAUUAUCUUAUGGGGAAACACUUUUGUGCGUUUUAACUCUUUCAGUUAACUGGAAGUUUUGUAUGUCACUAAUUUGAGGUCCUCUACAGACUUGCUCUUGUUAGUGGCUUGAAGUGGGUGGAUGAAGUGAUUUCCAGUGCUCCUUAUGCAAUUACUGAAGACUUCAUGAACCAUCUAUUCAAUGAGUAUAAGAUUGACUACAUUAUACACGGUGAUGAUCCCUGUC